rnacentral:misc_RNA from 1 species
GAUGAAGAACGCAGCGAAAUGCGAUACUUGGUGUGAAUUGCAGAAUCCCGUGAACCAUCGAGUCUUUGAACGCAAGUUGCGCCCGAAGCCAUUAGGCCGAGGGCACGCCUGCCUGGGCGUCACACGUCGUUGCCCCCCCAUCUACUCCUUCGGGAUUGCGGGGGGCGGAUGAUGGCCUCCUGUGCGCCUCGUCGCGCGGUUGGCAUAAAUGCCAAGUCCUCGGCGACGCACGUCACGACAAUCGGUGGUUGCGAAACCUCGGUUGCCCGUCGUGUGCGGUCGUCGCGCAUCGAGGGCUCGAAAAAAUUGCCGGGCUCCGGCUCGGCUUUCAACGCGACCCCAGGUCAGGCGGGGUUACCCGCUGAAUUUAAGCAUAUCAAUAAGCGGAGGA